rnacentral:ncRNA from 1 species
UUUGACUCAACACAGGAAAUGACAACAGGGUCAGACAUAGUAAGGAUUAACAGAUCAAAAGCUCUUUCUUAAUUCUGUGGGUGGUGAUGCAUGAUCAUUCUUAGCUGAUGGAGCAAUUGGGUUAUUCCUAAUUGUGAUGUCCUAACUAGUUGGGUGGUCAUCUCUCAGCAGGCUUUUGCUGUGAAGUGUAUAUGCAGAUAAAGCUUUUAAUAGGGAGUGUAGAGUUUUUAUUUGCUUAUGUUUUUAUGCUUAAGCAUCUUGUCAUGCUAUUUAAAAUUUAUGCU